rnacentral:lncRNA from 1 species
AGAAAAGGAAGGUGGAAAUAAUUCAACGUCAGAAGAGAACAAAACGCGUUGAUGCAAAGGUAUAUAUGACCUCCCCUCCAUAGAGAGUUAAGACAACAUGUUCAGUAUAUUCAUAAUCUUGCGAAUUGAAACAUUAAAUUAGAAGAAACUCAAAAAAGGCUGAGUAUCUGCAAGAACGAUUUUUUGCAAUGGAACAGCUUUACCUUUUGGCAAAUUUCUGUUUUUGUUUUGAUACAAGAUCCCAUGAGUCAAUAUUCUUUUGUAUGUGAAAUGCACGAUUUUUUAUCUACAGUAAUGAAGAUAGGAUAAACUGCUGGGACACACUAUGAGAUGAAAUCUUAUGACACUCAAACAGAUCAUAUGCUUUACAGACACUACUGGUAACUUAAAGAACUAUAGCUCUUUCCAUACACCUAAAUCAAAGACUUAAUAAGAUACUAUAAUUCAAGGCUACCUCUGGGAAAUGGGUUCUUAAGUAUGAUCUUAAUAGAAACAGAGUUCUAUCAAGGUCCUUCUUGUUAAGAAAUAAAGUAAGCAGAUCAGCACCAUUUUUUGAUAAUUCCUCUGCUGUUUCAUCCUGAAGAGCGAAGACUAAGUAACAUUAGCAUGCAAUACAUUGUAAGUCAUGAAACUGCAGAAAUGAAUAACGAGUAGCAUAGGUCGAGGAACAAAAGCAAAUAUUAGAUUCAUAUAAAUGAACAAUAUACCACAACAUAAAACAGAACUUUUGGCAUCAUCAAAUGAAAUGUAGAUUUGAAGUGUCGGAGGAGUUUUACAUUCCACUUCGUUAAAUAUGACAAUUAACAGAUGUUGUACAGCAACAAUGAAGUUAUGGAUUAUAAUGCACUACGUAUCAGUAACAACACACGUUAUGAUAAGCAUUGUUUGGAUGAGAGCACAACAACUUUUCCAUUCAGAUAGCACACAGUUUUAGCUUUCAACUAAAAACCUCAUUUAUGAUUUACCGAACACAGUUGUAUCCGUUAACAUAGAAUCUCAUGGAAGUCAUACUCAUAUUCACAACAAACACUUCACCUACUAGAAGACAAACUGCACAUCACAGAUACUAGAAUUAAAUUCUGUUAGGCAAUAAUUUUCUGUCAAAAAUAAGUUGCAUCCUGCUUGAGUCUUGGACAACACUUUUUUUUUUUGUUUUUUCUGUCGUAUAGUCCCUUUAUAAAUGCACUUCUAAAAUGAUGACAUCAACUAGUGAUUCUCAACUUGCUAGCCAUAUAUCCACCAUGCCAAACAAAGCAUAAGUCUUUAACACAACAAAUAUUAAAAUAGAAAGGAAUUCUAAUAGAACAUAAGGUGAAAACCGAUGUUAAAAAAAUAAACAGACAAACAAUGCAAAACUUCCAAUCGAUACUUUCACAUAACAGAUUAUAACGCAUACGAUCAGUUUACAAAAUCUGCCUAUCAUCAUUUUACUAAACAUUUUAAAGCUUACCUCUUCCGCUGAUUUAUCAGGUAUACGAAGUAUUUUCUCGAUGGAAUUCUCGCCAUGACAGACAUUAACUGAGACGUAGGGUGAUUUGUUGGCACCCGACGAUGCAUUAUCUUCAUCGCUCGAAACAGCAGGGUGGCUCAAUGCCUUUAAAGAUGAGACAUAUGUCUUAGGCCUCCAAAAUCGAAGGGC